rnacentral:rRNA from 1 species
CCCCUAGAUGUUCUGGGCCGCACGCGCGCUACACUGAACAGUUCAACAAGUCUUAACCUUGGCCGAUAGGUCUGGGUAAUCUUUGAACGCUGUUCGUGAUUGGGAUAGACCUUUGCAAUUAUGGGUCUUCAACGAGGAUUUCCUAGUAAACGCAAGUCAUCAGCUUGCAUUGAUUACGUCCCUGCCCUUUGUACACACCGCCCGUCGCACCUACCGAUUGAAUGGUCCGGUGAAAUCUCGGGACGGCGGCUUGGUCGCUUGCGUCCGACUGCUGAAACUUGAUUAAACCAUAUCAUUUAGAGGAAGGUGAAGUCGUAACA